GUCCACGCCCUAAACGAUGCAAACUUGGUGUAGGCAGUUCAGUCUGUCUGUGCCGGAGCUAACGCGUUAAGUUUGCCGCCGUGGGGAGUACGGUCGCAAGGCUGAAAACUCAAAGGAAUUGACGGGGGCCCCGCACAAGCGGUGGAGCAUGUGGUUUAAUUCGACGCAACGCGAAGAACCCUUACCUGGGCUCGAACGGCUUCGGACAAUCCUUAGAAAUAGGGACUUCCCGCAAGGGACUGGAGUCGAGGUGCUGCAUGGCUGUCGU
rnacentral:rRNA from 1 species